UACGGAGGGUGCAAGCGUUGUCCGGAAUCAUUGGGCGUAAAGAGUUCGUAGGUGGUUUGUUAAGUUUGGUGUUAAAUGCAGAGGCUCAACUUCUGUUCGGCAUCGGAUACUGGCAGACUAGAAUGCGGUAGAGGUAAAGGGAAUUCCUGGUGUAGCGGUGAAAUGCGUAGAUAUCAGGAGGAACAUCGGUGGCGUAAGCGCUUUACUGGGCCGUAAUUGACACUGAGGAACGAAAGCCAGGGUAGCAAAUGGG
rnacentral:rRNA from 2 species